rnacentral:rRNA from 1 species
GACGAACGCUGGCGGCGUGCUUAACACAUGCAAGUCGAACGGAAAGGCCCCUUUGGGGGUACUCGAGUGGCGAACGGGUGCGUAACACGUGAGUAACCUGCCCUUGACUUCGGGAUAACUUCAGGAAACUGGGGCUAAUACCGGAUAGGAAUCCUUGCUGCAUGGGGGGGGUUGGAAAGCUUCGGCGGUUUUGGAUGGACUCGCGGCUUAUCAGCUUGUUGGUGGGGUAGUGGCUUACCAAGGCUUUGACGGGUAGCCGGCCUGAGAGGGCGACCGGCCACAUUGGGACUGAGAUACGGCCCAGACUCCUACGGGAGGCAGCAGUGGGGAAUAUUGCACCAUGGGCGGAAGCCUGAUGCAGCAACGCCGCGUGCGGGAUGACGGCCUUCGGGUUGUAAACCGCUUUCAGCAGGGGCGAAGCUUGUGGUGACGGUACCUGCAGAAGAAGCACCGGCUAACUACGUG